ACGAGCAUUUCCAGGCUGAAAGAGUGUCCAGGUGCCUGAGAGCUUAGGGAUGCAUUCCCUGGAUGAAAAAGCCUCCUGCUUCCACUCUGGAAUAUCUCAUCCCCUUCCCAGCCCCCUCUGCCAGCGAUCCCCACGGAUUUGGCUCCAGGUCCUGGGAAAUGAGACCUUUCCCAGCACAGGCUCUUUCUGAUGAGAAAAAACUCCGGAUGGGGGAAGUUGGGAGAGCCCCCGGGCCAUGGGAAAAUCUCCCUCCCCACAUCCUGGAGGGAGGGACGGGGCCAUAAAAACCCUCAGCACAUCCCACUUGGGAUGGGAGCUGCGGCUGGGAGAGGAGAGGCCAGGGAAUCAGCAGGAGCAUGGCUGCCUCACUGGGAUUAGGACUGGAAAAAGGGGUCCUGUCCCUUUCCCAAUUAUUUCAGUCCCCACUUGAUGGUGCAGUCAGCACUUUGGGAUUUUUCCACCUGUUCCCAUGAAAACAUACCCAGUCCUGGGCGUUGCCUCUCGCUGUCUCUGGAGGAUGUGGGGAAGGAGCCGUGGAUCUGGGACCUGCCUGGUAUCCAACGCUUCCCAUCUGCAUCUGCGCCGGGCGUGACCCCAGGAGAGGUCGAGCAUCCCAGGAGCUGCCAGAAAAGGCAGAAAAGGCACUGGAAAGAGUGAGCUUUGUUGCAAUAUGAAAAUCAAAUGCAAAGUUCGGGGGCUAUUUUUAGCUGGUUUGGGCUGCACAGGUGUU